GUCAGCAAGUAACAAACCUUCAUGCAUAGCAAGAGCCUCAACUUCAAGGGUAGAGCUAGCCAAGAAACUUCUUCCCUUCUCAGCAACUAAAGCACCCAUAGAAUCUCUAAAUGAUCACCCCAAUUCCAACUUCCUUCGACAAUAUAUAAAUUGAAGGCACCAUCACAAUUAACAAUCCAAUAACCAACCGUAGGCGCAAUCCAUCUUACUUGCUUACAUCGAUCCUUCCUUCCUCUAAAAGAUUCUUAUUUUUUGUGUUGGUUAUGUUUAGUAC
rnacentral:lncRNA from 1 species